AUAUCAGUCAUGCAUAGCAUAUCAAUAAGCGGAGGAAAAGAAACUAACAAGGAUUCCCUUAGUAACGGCGAGUGAAGCGGGAAGAGCUCAAAUUUGAAAUCUUCAAGGUUUUACCUUGACGAAUUGUAGUUUAAAGAAGUGUUUUCUGUUGAAGUUUUGGUAAAAGUUCUUUGGAAUAGGACAUCAUAGAGGGUGAGAAUCCCGUAUUUGACCAUUACUUUCAGCUUUGUGAUACACUUUCAAAGAGUCGGAUUGUUUGGGAAUGCAGUCCAAAAUGGGUGGUAAAUUUCAUCUAAAGCUAAAUAUUGGCGAGAGACCGAUAGCGAACAAGUACCGUGAGGGAAAGAUGAAAAGAACUUUGAAAAGAGAGUUAAACAGUACGUGAAAUUGUCAAAAGGGAAGCGUUUGACACCAGUGUUGUUUUCUCGAAAAUCAAUUAAAAAGAGUUGGAUUUUGUGUUGUAUUGACUUUAUCAGCUUUCUUCACUCUUUUCCAGCUUUUUUUAAUGCACUUUUCGUUUAACAAGUCAACAUCAGUUUCUUUUGUUGUAAAAAGGUCAUUGGAAGGUGGCUUUCUCCUUCGGAGAAAGUGUUUAUAGCCUUUGACUCAUGCAAUCGGAGAGACUGAGGUCUGCAGCGUAGAUCCUUCGGGGUUAGAUACAUUUGUGCUAAGUUAUAGCUUUUCAUAGACAACUUGUUGACUAUGUUUAGUCUUGUAGCUUACUCGCCUUACUGCUAUUUUACCUACGCUUAGGAUGUUGAACUCUAUCACACACAG
rnacentral:rRNA from 1 species